CAAAUCACCUCUUUCCCAUCUCGUUUAAACCCCUAAUUCCUGCUAUUAUCUCAAUCAAGAUCGAAAAAAAAUAAAAGAUACUCCAUAUGGUUUCAUAUGCACGAGUUAUUACCGGCUCUCGUCUGUUGCCCCUCGAACGAUAAAGUCCCUGCUUUAGCGUUGAAAUCCACUUGUUGUUGCUACCACCUAAUUUUAGGGUUCUAGCGAGGUACGACUAUGAUUCCAGAUAAUAAGAUUUCUCUGGUACAUGUUUCAGAAGAAGGAAACCCAGUAGGAGAUAUAUUUUUCUAGGUUUGAGAAGAAGAGAUUCAAAUUGAAAGGCUUGAAUUUAUCAUGCAUUAUAACAUGUAUAUGAAGAAAUUCAUUCAAGGUUAAUACAAUCACAACCAAGUACAUACAUGUUUAAAAGUAUGCGACAGAGACAAACCAUCUAUGGGAUGUAAUACAGAGGCUACCAUUAUUGACCUUCAUUAUUGAGCUCUAACGCUCAGGUAAUGUUUAUGAUCUAUAUUCAUAUGAUUUCACAUUUACCAGGUGUUUAGAGGCGUAAUAUUAGUGAUAAAAGUGUUUUAUUUAUUUGGGGGUGAUACAUCAAGAAAAUAGAAAGAACAUAUUCCGUAGAAAAAUGAGGUUUUUAUUUCUAUCGAUCUAAACUAAAGUUAUUUAAAUAUAUAUCUUAUGGAAGAAAUCGUCUACGGAGAAUACUUUUUAUGAAAAACUUUUAACUCAAGCAUAUAAAGAAGCUAAAGUGAUUAUAUUA